rnacentral:rRNA from 1 species
AUUGAACGCUGGCGGCAUGCUUUACACAUGCAAGUCGAACGGUAACAGGCCGCAAGGUGCUGACGAGUGGCGAACGGGUGAGUAAUGCAUCGGAACGUGCCCAGUCGUGGGGGAUAACGCAGCGAAAACUGUGCUAAAACCGCAUACGAUCUAUGGAUGAAAGCGGGGGACCGUAAGGCCUCGCGCGAUGGGAACGGCCGAUGUCAGAUUAGGUAGUUGGUGGGGUAAAGGCUCACCAAGCCAACGAUCUGUAGCUGGUCUGAGAGGACGACCAGCCACACUGGGACUGAGACACGGCCCAGACUCCUACGGGAGGCAGCAGUGGGGAAUUUUGGACAAUGGGCGCAAGCCUGAUCCAGUAAUGCCGCGUGCAGGAAGAAGGCCUUCGGGUUGUAAACUGCUUUUGUACGGAACGAAACGGCGAGCUCUAAUACAGUUUGCUAAUGACGGUACCGUAAGAAUAAGCACCGGCUAACUACGUGCCAGCCGCCGCGGUAA